rnacentral:rRNA from 1 species
AUUGAACGCUGGCGGCAGGCCUAACACAUGCAAGUCGAGCGGAUGAAGGGAGCUUGCUCCUGGAUUCAGCGGCGGACGGGUGAGUAAUGCCUAGGAAUCUGCCUGGUAGUGGGGGAUAACGUCCGGAAACGGGCGCUAAUACCGCAUACGUCCUGAGGGAGAAGGGGGGGAUCUUCGGACCUCACGCUAUCAGAUGAGCCUAGGUCGGAUUAGCUAGUUGGUGGGGUAAAGGCCUACCAAGGCGACGAUCCGUAACUGGUCUGAGAGGAUGAUCAGUCACACUGGAACUGAGACACGGUCCAGACUCCGACGGGAGGCAGCAGUGGGGAAUAUUGGACAAUGGGCGAAAGCCUGAUCCAGCCAUGCCGCGUGUGUGAAGAAGGUCUUCGGAUUGUAAAGCACUUUAAGUUGGGAGGAAGGGCAGUAAGUUAAUACCUUGCUGUUUUGACGUUACCAACAGAAUAAGCACCGGCUAACUUCGU